rnacentral:rRNA from 1 species
UACGUAGGUGGCAAGCGUUGUCCGGAAUUAUUGGGCGUAAGCGCUCGCAGGCGGUCUUUUAAGUCUGAUGUGAAAUCUUGCGGCUUAACCGUAAGCGGUCAUUGGAAACUGGAGGACUUGAGUACAGAAGAGGAGAGUGGAAUUCCACGUGUAGCGGUGAAAUGCGUAGAGAUGUGGAGGAACACCAGUGGCGAAGGCGACUCUCUGGUCUGUAACUGACGCUGAGGAGCGAAAGCGUGGGGAGCAAACAGG